rnacentral:ncRNA from 2 species
CUCGCUCUCGCGGGAGAGAUCGGGGUGUGAUUCAGCCCCGACGCCGAAGGCGCAACCGCCCCGGAAACGCUCAGGCAAACGGACCGCGAAGCACAC